CCUAUAAGACGAAAAGACCCCAUGGAGCUUCAAACCCAACUACACCCUUAACUACCACAACCGCACAACCUCUUAGGGCCCUGUAUAGUUGGUUUUAGGUUGGGGCGACCACGGAGUACAACCAAACCUCCGCAAUGGACGGGACCACUCCCUUAUCUAAGAGCCACACCUCUAAGAAUUAAAACACUAACAUAAAAUGAUCCAUGAUCUGAUCAAUGAACCAAGUUACCCUGGGGAUAACAGCGCAAUCCAUUUCAAGAGCCCUUAUCGACAAG
rnacentral:rRNA from 1 species